AUUGAACGCUGGCGGUAGGCCUAACACAUGCAAGUCGAACGGCAGCACAGUAAGAGCUUGCGCUUACGGGUGGCGAGUGGCGGACGGGUCCUGAGUACAUCGGAAUCUACUUUUUCGUGGGUAUAGCGUAGGGAAACUUACGCUAAUACCUCAUACGACCUACGGGUGAAAGCCUUGGAACUUCGGACCUUGCGCGAUUGAAUGAGCCGAUUUCGUAUUAGCUAGUUGGCGGGGUAAAGGCCCACCAAGGCGACGAUCCGUAGCUGGUCUGAGAGGAUGAUCAGCCACACUGGAACUGAGACACGGUCCAGACUCCUACGGGAGGCAGCAGUGGGGAAUAUUGGACAAUGGGCGCAAGCCUGAUCCAGCCAUACCGCGUGGGUGAAGAAGGCCUUCGGGUUGUAAAGCCCUUUUGUUGGGAAAGAAAAGCAGCAGGUUAAUACCCCGCUGUUCUGACGGUACCAAAAGAAUAAGCACCGGCUAACUUCGUG
rnacentral:rRNA from 1 species